UUAAGAAAGAAUUUUUUUAUUGCAUAAACAAAAGCUCUGCAAGGCUGGCAACAUUGCACAGAAAGGACUGUCAAAAAUAAUAAUGACAUUUUAGCCAUUGCUUGCGUAUUGCAGCAAAAAAUAUUUGGAAUAGUUGUUAAAAUUAAUUUGGACAGUGAUGGACGUGGUUGUUUAAUUUUCGAUUAUGUGAAUGAAUAGAAGAUUUUAGUACUUCUAAAUGUUUUUCACCAUAUUUAAGUCUACUUGGGUGCAUCAUGAUGUCUCUAAAUGAUGCGAAGACAUCUGUUGACGAUGUCAAAAAAUUUGCUUUCAAGUCCAUUGUAACAAAUUGAAACAAAUAUGUUCCUUACUUAAUUGAAGAUAAUAUCGUCUUUCAGUGGUAAAAGCAUCAGGCUUUCAGCUUAAAUCAGCUCAAUAUGCUCUUCAACAAAAUGUGCGUUAUGUGUUGUUCUAGUCGGGCAGCAAAUCCGGUACCUAAAACUGGCCCUUUUGUAUUUUCAUUGCAAUGAAAAUUCCAUUCCAUGCUUACGAAUGGAUGAGACAGAUUUUAUUUGUCUGGGCAUUUUUGGAACAGUACUUCGUGCUUCGAUUGUAAUGGCAAUUAAAAUUAAAAUAAAAUAUUUGCAUAUAAAUUACAACUAAUUGAAGAUUGGUUCGCAAUCGAUUGCAAAAUUACAUUUGCAAUAAUCAAUUCGAAGCACUGCUACCUCACUCCAGGAUAUCAUGUCUAAGCUGUUGGUUAAUACAUAUUAAAAAAAAAGUAAAUAUGUAUAAGCUCCUACUGUCUUUCGGGUACUCACACAUUAUGACGCACUGAACACUGAACUUAUUUGAGUAGAUAUAAUUUUGUACACCUCAAUUUUAAAACAGGAAAUAAUACUUAAUAAUAUAUUUUUUUUAAAUACAU